AGUGCGGCGUGCUAAUACAUGCAAGUCGAGCGAAUGGAUUAAGAGCUUGCUCUUAUGAAGUUAGCGGCGGACGGGUGAGUAACACGUGGGUAACCUGCCCAUAAGACUGGGAUAACUCCGGGAAACCGGGGCUAAUACCGGAUAACAUUUUGAACCGCAUGGUUCGAAAUUGAAAGGCGGCUUCGGCUGUCACUUAUGGAUGGACCCGCGUCGCAUUAGCUAGUUGGUGAGGUAACGGCUCACCAAGGCAACGAUGCGUAGCCGACCUGAGAGGGUGAUCGGCCACACUGGGACUGAGACACGGCCCAGACUCCUACGGGAGGCAGCAGUAGGGAAUCUUCCGCAAUGGACGAAAGUCUGACGGAGCAACGCCGCGUGAGUGAUGAAGGCUUUCGGGUCGUAAAACUCUGUUGUUAGGGAAGAACAAGUGCUAGUUGAAUAAGCUGGCACCUUGACGGUACCUAACCAGAAAGCCACGGCUAACUACGUGCCAGCAGCCGCGGUAAUACGUAGGUGGCAAGCGUUAUCCGGAAUUAUUGGGCGUAAAGCGCGCGCAGGUGGUUUCUUAAGUCUGAUGUGAAAGCCCACGGCUCAACCGUGGAGGGUCAUUGGAAACUGGGAGACUUGAGUGCAGAAGAGGAAAGUGGAAUUCCAUGUGUAGCGGUGAAAUGCGUAGAGAUAUGGAGGAACACCAGUGGCGAAGGCGACUUUCUGGUCUGUAACUGACACUGAGGCGCGAAAGCGUGGGGAGCAAACAGGAUUAGAUACCUGGGUAGUC
rnacentral:rRNA from 1 species